rnacentral:lncRNA from 1 species
AAUAUUCUUGGACUUCACUAAGAUAUUUUUAAAUCAAAAUUUAAUUAAAAAUUCUAUUCUUUUCCUUACUGGUGACUUAGAAAUUUUCAAAUAUCUUUGAGAUGUCAAGGAAAUAAAAGCUUGUCUACUUUCUUCUUUAGGUAGCUGAAGCUCAAGAUACUGUACGGCAACAUUACAGAGAUGCGAUUAUUUACCUAUGAAGACUCAAAAAGAUCUUCUGAUACCAACUUUGUACAGAUGACAGAGCCCUGUGAUUCAAAUUCCCUGACAUGCUUGAAGGCUGUCAUGCACCCCAUCAAAACAGAAUUUCCAAGUCUCUGCAUCAGUUAGUAUGGACUGAAAUAUGGUUCUCAUGUCAAAUGAAGGCUCCAAAGCCAGGGGUCUGUCUAAAACACCAGCUGAGUGCUCCCUUAGCCCUUCUGAAUCAACUUCAAAAUCUCACAAGGGAAGGGAGACAUUUCCUCAAAGGCUCCCGGAUUGCAUCCAUGAGAAACAACUUUUCACAAUCUGAUUAUUCUCCAAAGGAAACAGCCAAAGCAGAACUGAAGAGGCAGGGUUUCAAACUGUAA